rnacentral:ncRNA from 1 species
CGGUCAGCGGGAAGCUCUGACGCGCGGUCCAAAACCCUGGCCGCCCGGACCGCGCCGAGCCACUGGCGAGACCGACCCGCGAUGG